rnacentral:rRNA from 1 species
GCUAAGAAUAUUCCGCAAUGGACGAAAGUCUGACGGAGCGACGCCGCGUGGAUGAAGAAGGCCGAAAGGUUGUAAAGUUCUUUUGUUGGGGAAGAAUAACCAUGGGAGGGAAUGCCCGUGGGAUGACAUGAACCGACGAAUAAGCCCCGGCUAACUACGUGCCAGCAGCCGCGGUAACACGUAGGGGGCGAGCGUUGUUCGGAAUUACUGGGCGUAAAGGGCAUGUAGGCGGUCUUGUAAGCUUGGCGUGAAAGACCACGGCUCAACCGUGGGAUUGCGUUGAGAACUGCGAGGCUUGAGUGACGGAGAGGGAGCUAGAAUUCCUGGUGUAGGGGUGGAAUCUGUAGAGAUCAGGAAGAAUACCAAUGGCGAAGGCAAGCUCCUGGCCGAUGACUGACGCUGAGGUGCGAAAGUGUGGGGAUCAAACAGGAUUAGAAACCCCAGUAGUCC